ACACCCUCAAGCUCUGCUUGGUGUUGGGCGUCUGUCCCGCCUCGUGCGCGGACUCGCCCCAAAAGCAUUGGCAGCGGUUUGCCAGCCCGUAGCGUAGCACCAUUGCGCCUACGGGCCCGGCGGACCGGCGUCCAUCAAGUUACCCACA
rnacentral:misc_RNA from 1 species